GGGGAUGAAUGGUCUCGACAUUGGUCGUCGAGGUGAAAGAAGCGAGCCGUGGUCUCCGGAACCACGUAAAAGAGCCGGAAACAAUAAAUAAACGCCAAGCCUCAGCUUGCGCUUGCUGCUUAGGUAGCAACAUCCGCCUCGACCCAGCCCUGCGGUUGAGAUCACGGGUGUCAUAAAGUAGGGCUUACCCCUGUGAUUCGUUAGUGAUCGCUUCGGGACAAUUCUGCUAACUACGAAUCGUCGCCGCAGCCAGUGGCAGCGACGCUUCCGACAAUCCUUUGCUGGCUGCGCUCGGAGAAUGUUCACCAAGAAGCUGAUGGACCUGGGUUCGAAUCCCAGCAUCUCCAC
rnacentral:tmRNA from 1 species